UACGAAGGGGGCUAGCGUUGUUCGGAAUUACUGGGCGUAAAGCGCACGCAGGCGGCUCGUUGAAUUAGAAGUGAAAGCCCUGGGCUCAACCCGGGAAUUGCUUUUAAGACUGGCGAGCUAGAGUCCGGAAGAGGGUAGUGGAAUUCCCAGUGUAGAGGUGAAAUUCGUAGAUAUUGGGAAGAACACCGGUGGCGAAGGCGGCUACCUGGUCCGGUACUGACGCUCAGGUGCGAAAGCGUGGGGAGCAAACAGG
rnacentral:rRNA from 1 species